rnacentral:rRNA from 1 species
AUGGGUAGCUGGUUGCCAUGGGGAUCAUUGUCUUUGAUACUACUUGUGUUGUUGCAGACCAUGCUCCACUCGUCCUCUGGCUGCUUCGUGGAGGAGAGGGCUGCACUACUGGACAUCCGGUCUUCCCUGCUGAGAACGCGAUCCAUGCUUGCACCUGUUUCAUGGGGGGAGGAUGGUGAUGACUGCUGCUCGUGGGAGCGUGUGAAAUGCAACAAUGGAACACAAAGAGUGUCUCAUCUCAACCUUUCCUCUGUAUAUGUCACGAUAGAUGCAGAUGAUUGCUGGUCUUUAAACUUGACAGUGUUUUCUACAUUCCAUGAGCUUCAGUACCUAGAUCUAUCAUACAAUCCUGCCUGUUUGUUAAGCUUGCAAGGGCUAGUUAGACUAUCCAAGCUUCGAUAUCUCGACCUCAGUGGCACUCUUUUGGGAGGGGGUUUCCUGGCAUUUAUUGGGAAAAUUGUUUCACUGGAAGUCUUAGCUCUCAACGAUAACGAAAUGAAUGCAAGUUUUCCAGCCACAGCUGUUGAAAAUCUUAGAAAUUUGCGACAACUGAAUAUGUCUUGGAAUGGAUUCAACGGAAACCUCCCAGGAUCACUAUUUGCACUUCCUCAUCUAAAGAUCCUAGAUCUCUCGGGAAAUGAAUUCGGUGGGAGUAUUCCAGGAAGUUUAUUCUUGGGACCAAUUUCACUUGAAGUCUUAGAUCUCAGUCAUAAUCGCCUCAACGGAACUCUCCCAGUUAGAGCUUUUGAAAACAUCAGGAGCUUGAAUUUGGGUGACAACCAGUUCAGCGGAUCUCUCCCUGUGUCAUUAUUUGCACUUCCUCGUCUGAAGUCCCUAGAUCUCUCAGAUAAUAACUUUGAGGGGCGUUUUCCUAUUAAUCUGUCUUCGGGGCCAGUUCCCCUUGAGGUCUUACAUCUGGAGAAUAAUAAGUUGAGUGGACCUCUUCCGACUGAACAAGAAUUUGUAAAUCUUCAGAAGCUACGAGAGUUGUAUUUGAGUUCCAACCGAUUCAGCGGAAGCAUUCCAACAUUCUUGCUUUUGCUUCCACAUAUUGAACGGUUGAACCUCUCAACAAAUUUCCUUGGAGGACAAAUUCCGACAAAUCGGUCUUUUAAUCUGUCACCCUCGCUUAAGAGUCUUUGGUUUUCCCAAAACAAUUUGACUGGUAAAUUUUCUUUCAUUUGGCUUGGAAAUCUCAGAAAACUAGAAGUGAUAGACCUUUCAGGCAAUUCAAACCUAGUUGUUAUUGUCAAUAUUCCUGGAUGGACACCUAUGUUCCAAUUGAAACAGCUAUUGCUUUCUGGAUGUGACCUUGACAAGAACAUUAUUGUGGAACCGUAUUUUUUACGCACACAGCGUCAUUUAGAGGUGCUUGAUUUGUCUAACAAUAAUUUGUCGGGUAGCAUGCCAAAUUGGUUGUUUACAAAGGAAUCAACACUACAGGAACUACAUCUGGGAAAUAACUCGCUAACUGGAACGCUGGGCCCAAUAUGGCAUACCCAAUCGUUCCUCAAGAUUAUUAGAAUACACAUGAACCAUGUCGAGGGGCAGUUGCCGACCAACAUCGGCUCAUUGUUUCCAAUGCUGAGUGUUCUAGAUUUUUCUAGUAACAACAUCUCUGGGCACAUACCACCAUCAUUGUGCGAGAUGAGGCAGAUGGAUAUUUUAGACCUAUCAAACAACAAACUUUCUGGGGAAGUUCCAGCCUGUGUGUUCUCUAGUUGCACGGGCGUGUUCAGGGUCUCAAACAACAAACUUGGUGGUCAGAUUUUUGCUGGGGUCAAUAGUCAGAUCAAUACAAAUGAACUGUACCUGGAUAGGAACAAAUUUGAAGGAACAAUACCCCAAAAUCUAUCAGGUUAUGCAAGUGUCAUGGAUUUGCAUGAUAACAAGCUGUCUGGAAGACUUAGCGCUUCAUUGUGGAAUCUAUCAUCUUUGGCCGUCUUGAGUCUUGCUGGCAACCGUAUAACGGGCAAAAUUCAUCAGAAAAUUUGUGGCAUCAUAGGAAUUCUUCUUUUGGAUCUAUCAAGCAAUAACCUUACAGGGCCUCUACCGAACUGCAGCUUUAUAGUACUCAGUUUUCUUAACCUGUCGGGAAACUCCUUAUCUGGUGAUUUUCCUUAUACCCUUUUCAACACAUCAAAUAUGAUUUCCUUGGAUAUCAGACAGAAUCAGUUCACAGGCAAUCUGCACUGGCUAGGUUAUCUUGAUAACAUUAGGCUACUUUCCUUGGGCAGAAACAAGUUUGAAGGACAGAUUACUCCAAACCUGUGCAAACUCCUGUACUUGAGGAUAAUUGACAUGUCACACAACAUGCUUUCAGGUUCGUUACCAUCAUGUAUUGGUAACAUCUCUUUCCAAGGCGACAUAGACGAUCAAAUUUUCCAGUUGGUCGAUUGGUUUGCAAUUUACUCCUAUCACACUUCUUAUGACCUAUGGGAUUUCAGCUUUGCUACCAAAGGGAAUAUCUACACGUACGGUCGCGAUUUCUUCGAUUCAAUGGCUGGAAUCGACUUAUCUGCAAACAUGUUGCAUGGAGAAAUUCCCUGGGUGCUAGGGAACCUAAGCCAUGUCAAAUCCCUUAACCUGUCAUACAAUUUCUUUGUUGGCCCGAUCCCGCCGACCUUGGGAGGCAUGGAGGAGAUAGAAAGCUUGGACCUCUCCCACAAUGAGCUGAGUGGACCAAUACCUUGGCAGUUAAAUCAAUUGUCAUCAUUGGGGGCAUUCUCUGUGGCAUACAACAACUUGUCAGGAUGCAUACCAAACUAUGGACAGCUCGGCUCAUUCAGCAUGGACAGCUACCUAGCCAAUGCCAACCUUCACGAGAUUACUCAGGGGAAUACUUGUGCUGCUCCUGGUCCAGAUCCUGCUGUGGGGAAUGAUGUGGAAGAGACGCCCAGUGACCUAGUUCUAUAUGUUGUCACAGCUGCCGGCUUUGUGUUGACAUUUUGGGCCACCGUUGGGUUCUCAUUUUGCCAUCCUUACGGAAGAUCAGUAAUGCUCAAGAUGUAG